UCUGUCCUUAAAUCUGAAAUGAAUUUCGCCCGGCUUCUCGUUUUGGCUGCCGUAGGUACCUACCGCCCAAAGCCGGACACGACUAGCGAAGACCGGCGUCGCGUUGUCACCGACAGCGACAACGACAGACAGACAGCUAGAUUUCGGGCAAAGAAGCAGAGCAAACAGGUGAUUAACGUGCCGUACCGUCAGAAUGUAGAAGAGAGUGUGCCUUCACUGUUUGUCUUCUUCAAGUUCAAUUCUUACUCACAAGCAAGUAAUAAACCGGCUGUUUGUGGGAUUUUUCGCAAAACCGGAAUGUAAGAGGAGGAAGAACCCAUCGGAAUUAAGUUCACCUCAAGUGCCGCCGCCGGUUGACCUUUCGAUGAUGUAGUACAUUCGGGACUUGGUAUUUGAAAUGAUUAGAUGUGUUUACAACUCGUUAUUUCCGAGUAUGUACUAACAAAGAAAUGAUAGAUCCUCCAGGAUUUACCCUUUCUACAGGAAAAGAGUUACCAAUAAUGCUUUGAGUUAACUUACUACCUUAAGUACAUUCUACACAUGAAUGAUCUUACAAGAUAUUACAGACUUCGUUUGGGCGAGUUCAUGUGGCAGCUAGUGAAGAGAGAAGGAUUGUAGUGGCAUAGGUUCACUUUGGUUAGCCAAUUGCCGCUUGUUCAGCUUUGAGCAGCAUGGUUGCAGCUUUGAUAAAUGAACAUAUUGCAAUACCUUUUCCGCAAAUACAACAAUCAAUGUACUAACAAAAUAUCACCACAAUGUUUGCAAAAGUGAUUUGCACUUUGCGACAAACACACACACACACACACACCCAUAUCACUACUCAAUUCGGAUUUCGAAGACUUGUAUGACGACUUUGAUUCACACUGACUGACUGCUGCUGGUUGGACACGCUCGCGCUCAUCUGCUCGGACCGUGCUGUUGUAUAUUUGUCAAUUAGUUUCGAUGAUCAAAUCACCGCAGACCGACCGCAAUGACAAUCCCAUAAAACUUGACGAUGAUGACGAUCACCGGAUCGAUAAUGGGCUGCUGGAAAGCGCGACCAAGCGUGCUUAUAAUUUCACGGUUGGUAGGAAGUGUUACUUUUAGACUUCUCCACCCGAGCAGGAGAAAAUAGCUGAAGAAUAACUAACUCAGGUAUGGAAAACCGAAUACCUACAACCUGAAUGAGUUAUUAAGUAGCCCUGCAUAAGAGGUAAAAUACCUUAAAUAAUAACUGGUGUGUAUUCUGUGCAUAACCCGUGAAUAGUGACAUCAGAUAUGGCAAUACCUAAAUAAUAAUCGGAGAUUUUUCCACACAAAUAGCGAUUUUUCCAUAAUUGAAUAAUACUUCAAGCAGUCCUCAACACCAAACCAAUAACUCGUUGAGGUAUUUCAUCAAUACAUACAAAAUAUCAAAAUAAGUUAUUUUCAAUACCUGGAUAACCGACCAAUGUAAUCUUGGUAUGAUAACCAGUCCUGUUAUUGGUCGUGACCAUCCCAUGACGAUGAACAAGUAGGCCUUUUCAUCGUCACAAAAUGAAACGAGCACUCGCGCUCUUCGUCAUGUCAUUUCGCAAUAAUCAAGCGUUAUGACGAAAACUUCCAUAUUGUUUUGAAAUUAAAAUUUUCCCGUGGUCCAAGCAAAUUUAGGCUAGUCGUUGUAUUUAAUAGAUAGAGAAGGCAUGUAUUCAUGAUUUAAAGGAUUCAAACAAUAACAAAAUCCAUCUAUGUACUAGUAAUUGCCUUGUUUACAACCAUGUCACGCUCCGUCAUUACCGAGAAAUGAGCGAAUAUUGUUAGACUCUCUUGGUCAUCGUCACCCGAUUCGAUGACAUUGAGAGAGGCACUUCUGUAAAAAUCACGUGACGACUCGUGUUGACAUUGACGCUUUCCAAGCCUGAUGAUAACUGUUGCGGACCCCUCGACAUGCAGUCGAUGUAAGCUCCUGACUGAUCGAGGUGACAGGUGUCAAGCUGUCAGGGGUGACGUAUCAUUUAAGAACUGUCAUUGAAAUGAUUUGCAAAAAUUAAUUGAAGACUACAGAAGUUAUAAAAAGUAUUUUUUCUUUAUUUUCAUCUAUUGAAAUUGUAUUACAUUAUUCUAUAUAUUUUUAGAUUCGCUAAAUUGAAUUAUCAUUAAUAUAGUGUUCUGUGUGUGGUGAAUUAUUUCGGACACUAAGUAGUAAGUACCUGUACAUAUGUUAAAAAGAUUGUGAACUCAAACAGUAAAAUAUACAAAUUACAGCUUUAGCGACACUCAGUAAAAAGCGAGUUGCUCAAAGGCAUCCGAAAGGACAAAUCACACCAACAGACAACUAAAGUACUUACGGAUUCAGUGCAAUACCAUGAAUCGAACAUCGGCCGUACGGCAGACACGAUCGCGGACACGGGCUGUAGCGGAAGAUACACCCAACCUCCAAAAUGAUGAGCAACGAGAGAAUGCAUCCGUGAAGUCAUCGGAGGGCAAUUUCGAGGCAUCCUUAAUCGACGAAGAGCGUGCGGAUGAACGGGAGUGCGGUGCUUGCGAUCGUCCGAACAAGGCCGAGUGGUUCAUGGUUCAGUGCGGGGACUGUGAAAAGUGGUACCACUUCUCCUGCGCCGGGGUGACACACAAAACAGUUCACUCCAAAUCGUUCACUUGUGCGGUUUGCGAAACCCGAACAUCGAUUCCUCCUCCAACUUCGAUGUCUGUUCGGACAAGUACGUCUAGUUCACGCAGAGCAAGACUGGCCCGUGAACUGCAACGCCUCGAGGAGGAACACGCACUGCAAGAAAGGAUACAGCAAGCAACCCUGGAGAAGCUAGAUCGCGAAAAGGAGUACAUCGCUCGAAAAUACCAGCUCCUCGAGCAGCGGGACGAAGCCGAUACGUCGAGCUUCCGUAGUGAUUCUUCCAGUCAGACUAGCAGAGUAAAUGAAUGGGUUCAACAACAAAACAGUGUCGUAGCCGUUACUAGUGCCGUCGUUCAGCAGGCUGCAUGCGUGGAGAGCAGUCAUGCAGGCACUGGGGCCUCAGUUUCCCGUAAAAACGUACAGAUUACGUCCACUCCGUUGAAGAUGGGAUUCUGUUAUACGAACCCGAAGGUUGCUGAAAGUCGGCCAGUUUCCAGCAUCGGUGGUGUAGCUGACAGCGAAUUAGAGAAAACGUUUGGUAGCAUAACCAUUGAUGGUAUCGAACGUCCUGUAGAAUGCGAGGGCAUCGUUCCGUUGGUAGAUGUUCAACCGUUGGUGGAUCUACUCGAAUAUUCCCCACCGAAGAUCCCUGAGACAGGUGCUCUCCCAAAGAAUCCGAUGCCUUUGUACGAAAAGUGGCGUAGAGAGACCAACGAUCUACGGAAGGAACACUACAGGAAGCAACAGCAACACGAAAUCGAAAUCGAGAUUAGGCGCAAACGUGAAUUGGACCUUGUUAGUAAGCUAAACCAGCUGAAGGACAGUCAAGAGGAACAAUUCGAAUUGCAGCGUCGGCGCGAAGCCGAUCUAUUUCGUCAACUGCAGCUUCGAGAAAAAGAGGAAAAAGAGAUCGAGAAGCGGCAACGGAAAGCACUGGAAGAACGGGACGCUGAGUUACAACGCUUGCGGGAGAUAGAGCGAGCAUUCACCGAGAUGCAGAUGUCAGCUCGGCAGAAGCGGAGUAGUGCGUGUGAUCCUAAUGCGAACGCUAUAGCAGAACAUGUACAGGAGAAGGCCCACCAUCCGGAAGCACGAACGUGGUCGCCAGGUUGUACCCAAGGUGAAGGUAAAAACAUACCUCGUCAAUCGAACAUUCUGGUAAGUCCACCCCGUUCACCUGUCGUUUCAUUGGAAGCAAUAAACAUCACCCCCUCAUGCACCCCUCACCAACAAAAUGGGCUGGAUGAGCUUUCGAUCAUCACUCCAGCAGGUGGUCGAUCUCAAUAUUCUAUCCCCGUGAAUCGAUCAGUGGCAAUGCUUACUCCUUGUGCCACCCCUAUACAUGAACCGCAAAUGAAUUUUCCCUUCUUUCCCCACCAUGGCGUACCUCAGAAUGAGCCUCGACAGCCCUUCGUUCAGGUAAGCCCCUCUGUCGCGAACUACGGUCCACAACAGUUCCAGUGUGGUCCAACGCCGCAGCAAGUGACCGCAAGGCAGGUGAUUUCCAGAGAACUUCCAUCGUUCAAUGGGGAUCCUAUCGAAUGGCCGAUGUUUAUUAGCAGCUAUUCGCAUUCAACGAGUGCAUGCGGGUAUACGGAUUUCGAGAAUCUACUCCGGCUUCAGCGGUGCCUCAAAGGUGCGGCCAAAGAUGCAGUCAGCAGCCUUCUUUUGCAUCCAUCAUCAGUUCCUCUGGUCAUUUCUACAUUACAAACUUUGUAUGGUCGGCCCGAGCAAAUCGUCAGCAACAUGGUUACAAAGGUACGAAACACUCCUGCCCCAAAAGCGGAUAGAUUAGAUACGUGGGUCACAUUUGGGUUGAUGGUGCAGAACUUGUGCGGACAUCUCAAAGCGGUAGGGCUGGAAAAUCACCUGUCCAAUCCUAUCCUGUUGCAAGAACUAGUGGAAAAGCUACCACCUACUGUGAAGUUCAACUGGGCACUCUACCAACAAAGUUUGCCCAUUGUGGAUCUCAGCAGUUUCGGAAGCUACAUGGAGAAGAUCGCCACUGCCACAAGCAGUGUGGCAACGCCCUUGAUCAGUCAACCGAAAACAAACAAGGAGGAUCGACCCAGGGGAAAGGAUAAGGCGUUUGUUAAUGCCCAUGCGGCGUUGGCCCAAUACGACGAAGAUCCAGAAACAUCGGUCGACGAACAUCAGCAGAUGCACAUCGCAGCGAAGAAAACCGAAACAGUAUCAGCAUGUUCAUCUUGCGGCGAAGAAAGUCAUCGGGCUUCGAACUGUCCGACAUUCAAAAAACUUUGUAUUGAUGCUCGUUGGAAAGAAGUGAAAGAGAAGCAGCUUUGCAGUCGGUGCUUGACGUCACACAGUCGCUGGCCAUGUCGCGGAGAAGUAUGCGGAGUGAAUGGUUGCCAAAGACGCCAUCAUCGAUUGCUUCAUCCCGAUCUUCCUAGGGAGGAGAAAAAGAUCGCGGAAACGAAGAACGCCACCAUUACAGUUCAUCGUAAGCAGACAUCGUCAACGCUCUUUCGCGUGUUACCCGUGACACUCUACGGAAGUAAAGGCCAGGUUGACACGUUCGCUUUUCUAGACGACGGGUCGUCAGUUACCAUGAUAGAUCAGUCGACUGCAGAAGCGCUUGGUCUGGAAGGAAAUGCCGAAACCUUGUGCAUUCACUGGACCGGUGGAAUCCAGAAGAAACUGAGUGCCCAGCAGGUUGCGGUUGAAGUUUCAGCAGUCGACAGCGAUAAGAAGUUCAAGGCAUCUGAAGUAUACGUAGUAGAAUCUUUAGGCCUACCCGAACAAACAAUCAAUUUCCAGGAAAUGGAGCAGCGUUUUGCCUAUCUUAAAGGAUUACCAGUGAGAAGUUUCACGGCAGCUGUUCCUGGACUAAUGAUAGGGCUGAACAACAUACACUUGCUGGCAACCCUGAAGCUGCGUGAAGGGCAGGUAGGCGAACCGAUAGCAACAAAGACACGCAUUGGAUGGGCUGUAUAUGGAAGCAUAUGUGGGGGAGUCGAUCAACUACCACACCGUCAAAUGCACAUCAAUACGGGAACAUCUGAUGAUGAUCUGCACGCCUACGUUCAAGAAUUUUUCGCACUGGAAAGUUUGGGAAUCUCUGUGGUACCAGCAGCAGAAGCGAUAGAAGACCAACGGGCCCGACGGAUUUUGCAGGAGACGACUAAGCGCACCGACAGCGGUAGGUUCCAAACCGGUUUGCUGUGGAAGAACGAUUACAUCCAUUUUCCGGACAGCGAACCGAUGGCUAAAAAGCGACUAGCUUGUCUUGAGAAGCGACUAAGUAAAGACCCAGACCUGUACAACACCGUUCGCCGACAGAUAGCGGAGAUGCAGGAGAAAGGCUAUACACAUAAAGCAACCAAUGAAGAGUUAGCAGAGUUCGACCGUCGACGUUCGUGGUUCUUGCCACUAGGAGUGGUAUUAAACCCUAAGAAACCAGGAAAGGUUAGGCUUAUUUGGGACGCGGCAGCCAAGGUCGAAGGCGUCUCACUAAACACCGAGUUGUUGAGCGGUCCGGAUCUACACGCGCCGUUAUUGAGAGUGAUGUUCGGAUUCCGCGAAAGGCAGGUGGCUAUAUGCGCGGAUAUCAUGGAGAUGUUCCACCAAAUACUCAUUCAGAAGGAAGACCGCAGUGCACAACUAUACAAGUGGAGGGAUACACCGGAUCUACCUAUGGAAACCAUGGUGAUGGACGUCGCCAUCUUCGGCGCAACAUGUUCUCCAGUGCAAUCGCAGUUCGUGAAAAACAAAAACGCCGAAGAACACGAAGAAACACAUCCCCGAGCAGCCGACGCGAUUAAAAAGAAGCACUAUGUCGAUGACUACCUCGAUAGUCUCGAUACACCUGAAGAAGCAGCGGAGUUGGCAUUGGAAGUAGCAAAAGUUCACGCCGCAGGGGGUUUCUUCAUCCGAAACUGGAUCUCUAAUGACCAUUCCGUACUUGUGCGAAUUGGGGAAACCAAUCCAGCAGUAGUGAAAAGCUUCGUCGGAGAGGAUCAAGCUGAACGUCUGUUGGGAAUUGCCUGGUUACCGGACGCGGAUGUUUUCACCUUCACGCUAAACUUUCGUCGCGAUAUUCGGAUUCUCAUCGAAGAUGUUCUGGUGCCUUCCAAAAGAGAAAUGCUGCGAGUAGUGAUGAGCAUCUACGAUCCUCUCGGACUUGUUGCGGCGUUUGUCAUCCACGGAAAGAUUCUCAUUCAAGAUGUCUGGAGGGCUGGAAUCGACUGGGAUCAAAAGGUUCCGCAGGACGUGUUCAGCCGAUGGAAGCUGUGGUUAGAAAUAUUGCUAAAGAUGAGUGACGUUAGGAUUCCCCGCUGCUACUUUCCGGGGUACGAUCCGACAAGCUAUCGAUCACUGCAACUUCACAUCUUUGUGGACGCGAGCGAACAAGCCUUUGCCGCUUGCGCGUAUUUCCGUAUAGUCGACAGAGAAAGAGUUCGUUGCUGUUUGGUGGCGUCGAAAACCAAGGUAGCACCGCUCAAACCGCUAUCUAUCCCUCGUCUAGAACUGAUGGCAGCAGUGAUAGGAGCGCGGUUGAAGCGAUCGAUCAUCGAAAAUCAUUCCUUGGAGAUUCAGCAGACUUUCCUUCAUAGUGAUGCCGGAACUGUCCUUUCCUGGAUCCGAGCAGAUCCCCGUCGUUACCGUCAGUUCGUGGCAUUCCGCAUCAGUGAGAUUUUGAGCUUGUCAACGGUAGAAGAAUGGCGGUGGGUUCCAACAAGACUUAACGUCGCUGACGAGGCCACGAAGUGGGGUAGAGGUCCAUCAUUCGAACCGGAUAGCAGAAUUAUGGUAGGACCAAUGUUUCUGUACGACGAUCAACGAGAGUGGCCAAAGGACUGUCGAUCCGAGGUGAACGAAAUUGACGAGGAGCUCCGACCAGCUUACAAUUUCAGCCACUUUCUCGCAAGGCCGUUGGUGAAGUUCGAUAAUUUUUCGAAAUGGGAGCGACUGCUGCGGUGCGUCGCGUACGUACACCGAUUUGCGGAGAAUUUGAGGCGACGCUGUAAGAAGGAACCUGGAACAAUAGGAGGACUCACAUCAUUUGAACUUCAGCGAGCGGAACGUACACUCUGGAAGCUUGUGCAGUCUGAUGCCUAUCCGGAUGAAGUAGCAACGUUGAAGUACAAUUCUCAAGCUGAUAAGACAAAAUCGAAGAGACUGGAAAAAAGAAGCCCACUUGCGAAACUGUCACCAAUGAUAGAUGAAGACGGAAUUCUUCGUAUAGAUGGUCGAACGGUUCACAGCGACUACGCAGCCUACGAUGCGAAGUAUCCCAUUAUUCUAUCGAAGAAACACAUCGUUACAACGUUGCUGAUAGACUGGUACCAUCGCAAAUUUCGGCAUGCCAACAACGAGACCGUGGUCAACGAAGUUCGCCAAAGAUUCCACGUACCAAGUGUGAGGGUUCAAGUUCGAGCAGCCAGGAAGCGUUGCAUGUGGUGUCAGGUGUACAAGGCCGUUCCUGCGCCUCCGAAAAUGGGACCGUUGCCACAAGCUAGAUUGACACCAUUCAAACGACCCUUUACCUACUCCGGAGUUGAUUACUUCGGGCCUUAUUUCGUAAAAAUUGGGCGAUCUACGGCGAAAAGAUGGGUCGCUUUGUUUACAUGCUUGGUAACCCGGGCUAUUCAUCUGGAAGUAGUAAGCAGCUUGUCAACAGAUUCGUGCAAGAAGGCAAUACGUAGAUUCAUCGCGCGCAGAGGGGCUCCAGUGGAAUUCUACUCGGAUCGUGGAACAAACUUUAUUGGCGCUAGCCGCGAAUUGAUGGACGAGAUUAAGCGAAUCGACGUUGAACUCAGCAGCACCUUUACGAAUCAGCAGACGCAGUGGAAGUUCAACCCACCGGCCGCCCCACACAUGGGGGGAUGUUGGGAAAGAAUGGUCCGGUCGGUUAAAGUCGCUUUGGGUGUGCUGCCGUAUGAACGUAAACUCGAUGAGGAGUCGUUGACAACGUUUCUUGCCGAAGCCGAGCACAUGAUAAACUCGCGUCCUCUAACGUUUGUGCCAAUCGAGAGCGAGGAUGACGAAUCACUGACGCCGAACCACUUCCUGAUGCUAAACUCCAGUGGGGUCAAACAACCGGAAAAGACACCAGUGGACGUGGGCAUGGCAUUAAAGGGAAGCUGGAACCAAAUACAGCACACUUUGGAUAACUUCUGGCGACGGUGGUUGAAGGAGUACCAGCCAACCAUAACGCGGCGAACUAAAUGGUUCCACGAUGUCCGUCAUGUUAAGGAGGGUGACUUGGUGGUGAUUGCGAAUGAGGGGGUGAGAAAUCGGUGGCUCAGGGGUCGUAUAGUGAAGACAUAUCCGGGACGAGACAGUAUACCACGGCGUGCAGAUGUGCGAACUUCAGAUGGGUCAGUAUUACGUAACCGGCCAGUAACCAAGUUGGCCUUACUGGAGAUUGGAACCAUGAGUGACGCCGAACCGGAAGUUCUGUCGACACGUGGGGGAGGAUGUUGCGGACCCCUCGACAUGCAGUCGAUGUAAGCUCCUGACUGAUCGAGGUGACAGGUGUCAAGCUGUCAGGGGUGACGUAUCAUUUAAGAACUGUCAUUGAAAUGAUUUGCAAAAAUUAAUUGAAGACUACAGAAGUUAUAAAAAGUAUUUUUUCUUUAUUUUCAUCUAUUGAAAUUGUAUUACAUUAUUCUAUAUAUUUUUAGAUUCGCUAAAUUGAAUUAUCAUUAAUAUAGUGUUCUGUGUGUGGUGAAUUAUUUCGGACACUAAGUAGUAAGUACCUGUACAUAUGUUAAAAAGAUUGUGAACUCAAACAGUAAAAUAUACAAAUUACAGCUUUAGCGACACUCAGUAAAAAGCGAGUUGCUCAAAGGCAUCCGAAAGGACAAAUCACACCAACAAUAACUGACUUUGGUAUGCUCCAGUUAUGUAGCAGUUAUUCAUUCCUGCUCGGGCAGUGCUACAUAUUUGGGAAAAGUGUUACGAUGAAAUGUUAGCACUUCCUGAAAGUGUUGUCGAGAGCACAACUGGGUGAUCAAUCGACUGAUCGAAAUUUUAUAUUGUACAUAUAGCCACGUAUGAAGCCACAAACGCAAUCAGAAAUCUGCAGUUAUGACACAUAGCACAGAAUUGUGUUCGAUGGCUGUGCCAAGUCAUUCGAAAACUUCGUGGAGUAUGGUAUUGCUAUUGGAACUGCUUCGGUGGAGCUCUUAGAUGAAUUCACGGUGGAUAUCCUGGUGGAAGUUGUAGAGGAUUUCCUGUAGAACUCAUUUGGAAAUUUCAGAUGGUAGUCCUAAAAAAUAACGAUAUAACCCCUAGAGAAAGUUCCGUUGGAACUCCCAGACAGAUUCCCAGUGAAACUUUUAGCGGAAUUCCCGGUAGAAAGUCUGCGGCAGUUUGUAGUUGAACUUGUAAAGAAAUUCCCGGUGAAAAUUCUGAAGAUGUUUUACAGAAAUUCCUGCUGCAAUUAAUAAAUCUUCGGUGGUAUUCCUAGAGAAAUUUCCGGUAGAAUUUCUAGAUGAAUUUUCUGUGGAAUUUCUAGAGUAACCCCUGCGGGAAUUUACGGUAGUAAUCCCGCACAAAUUCUUGGUGGAACUCCUGGACAGGGUGUCUACUACCUGGAAAAACCUGGAAAACCGGGAAUCCUCAGGGAAUUUUAUUUAACAGGGAAAAACCUGGAAUACUCAGGAAAUUUCUGGAGUACUCAGGGAAAUUUUACUCCGAUAAAAAAAACAUUGGUUCGUAUGAACCUGGUAGUAAAAAUCCAUAUAGAAAUUUCGCUACAAGGAUUUUUUCCAGAAAUUCCGUCAGAAUUUCUUUCUGGAACUUCUUUAAAAAUACCUCCUGGAAUGUCUCCCAGGAUUACUUAUAAUAUUCCUUCCGCAUUUUUGACGCUAUUUUUCUUGGUAUUUCUUUUUGAUUUUUUCCGGAACGGGAUACUCCCGAUAUCCUUCCAGGAUUCCUGAAUUCCAACCGAUUUCUCCUGGAGUUUUUCACGGGGAUGCUAUUUCUUCACAGAGUUCCUCCAGUGUUUUGCUGAAUGAAAUCUUCGUAGGAUUUCCACCAGAAUUUAUCCCGAAUACUCUAUAAGAAUAUCUGUCGGGAUAAAUCGUGGAAUUUCUUUCGGCACUCCUCACGGAAAUUUUACCCGAUUCUUUCCGGUGUUCUUCUUGGGACUUCCCCAGAAGAUCUUCACAGAAUGUCUUUCAGAGUUGCUAAAGGAGUUAUUCCUGGGGUUCCUACUAAAGUUCCUCCAAGGGUUUCUGACGGAGUUUUCACGAAUUUAGUGCAAGAGUUCCUCAAAAGAUUUCUUUUAUUUGUUUCCUGUGAUAUCUUCAAACCAUUGCUUUGGGCUUUCUUCGAGAUGUUCUUCCUAGUCUCCUACAGGAAUUUGUUAAAAGUUUUCGCGAGGUUUAUUUUGAAGUUUUACCUGAGAUUUUUCUCGGAGUGUCUCCUGGAACUUCUCUCAGAAGAUUCCUUCCGAUAUUGGUCAUGAGAUGUCUCUCAGAGUUUUUCUUAAUUUACCCUGGAUUUUCCAGAGUGCCUUCUGGGAUUUCCACAGGAGUUAUUGCUGAUAUUUCUCAUUGAAUUCUUCUCUUGCAUUCUUUCAGAGCCAGGCUGUUUCUUGUAGUUGAACCGAAUUUCUUGCAGUGAUUCACCUGAGAGUUUUUACAGAUAUUCUAUGCAUUAUUCAACAAUCUUCCCGGAAUCUUUACCAGAAAUUGUCCCGAGAUUCUGGAUACUCCUUUAGGGAUUUUUCCCAAAGUAAUUCCAGGGAUUCUUCUACGGGUUUUCCUCAGAAUGUCUCCUGAGAUAACUUACGAAAUACCUUAUAGGAAAUUCAUGAAGAAAUAUUCGAGGGAAUUCAAAUAAAAUCUUGCGAAAAACUCCGCAAAGUGUUGUUGAAAAAAUCUCGACAUGAACUUCAGGAAAAACCUGAGAAGAAAUAUUAAGGACAUCCAAGGAGGAAUUUUGAAAACCUCAUGGAUACCUGAAAGCAGCUGCGGACGAAGUUCCGCGAGGAAAACAAGAGGACUAUCGGAGAACUAUCGAAAAAGUUCAAUAGUUUAUGUAUAGCUGUCCCGGAAAACCACUAAAACAGACAUGGACACUGGCUUCAGCCGGCGGCUGUACCGAUUGAACGAAACUUAACACGGAGUGGCUACGCAUAAGACGUGAAAAAUUUCAUCGCUCGGAGCGGGAAUCGAACCCUCAUCCACCCGGACUCUAACCGCAUGGCUACGAGGUUCAACCAUUGACAUUCUUGAAGAAACUUUAAAUAGUUUCAAAUCAUCAAAUCCUUCCCAACCAAGCUGAAUAUGAUCAAGUUUCAGGCAAUUUGGCCGGCAUAAAUCCCUCAUGACGAAGAGAACAAACCUGCCGAUGAUACCCUAAGUCACCCUUUAUAUUUUUUUGAAAAUUUUGGUUGUUUUAUAAUUUAUUUAAGUUUAUAAUUCAAAACUUUCAAAACUUCAUCUGGAAAAACCUGGAAAACUCAGGGAAUUUUAUUUUGAGUUAUGAGUAGACACCCUGCUGGAGAAAUUCCUUGUGGAACUCCUUUAAUAAUACCGGAUGGAUUUCUAAUUCCUAAAGGAAUAUCUGGGGGAAUUCCUUGAAGAAUUAUCGGUGAACUCCUAGAAACAAUACCAGUAGAACUUCUAAAAGAAUUCCCAAUGGAAUUCCUUCAGAAUUGUUGGUGGUACUCUUACCUGCGGACGUUCGUGAUGGAACUUUUAGAGGAAUUCUCCGUCAAACUCUUACAAAAGUUCUUGGAAGAAAUCCCGUUGGAACAGUAAAACUCCUAGAGGAAUUCCCGGUGAAAUUUCUGCAGAAAUUCGUGUGGAGCUUCCAGAGAAACAUCUCGGUGAAACUCUUGUGGAAGUAGACGAUGGAUUCUUUAUAGUAUUACAUGAGAGAACUCCUGCAGGAACAGCGGUAGAAACUCCAAGAAGACUCCUGUGGUAUCUCGUGAUGUAACUUUUAGAUUUAGAGGAAUUUCCGGUUGAACUACACGAUUUCACGUUCUACAAGAAUUCCCGAUGGAACUCCUAGAGGAAUUCCUAACAGAACUGCUAGAUGAUUUCCCGGUGUUAUCCUUAGAGAAUAUUCCCAUGAAAUACAAGAGGAAUUGCAGUCGGAAUUUCCGUUGGUACUCCUGGAGAAAUUCUCGGUGAAACUCCUACGGGAGCUCAUGAUGGAACUUUGAAAAGGAUUCCCAGUGGAAUUUGUGGUGGAAUUUCUGGCAGAAUUUCCGGUGGAUUUCAUAAAGAAAUUCUUUGAGGAAUUUAAGAUAAAUGACCAAUUAAACUUCUAGAGGAGUUUCCACUGGAACUCUAAGAAGAAUUUCUGAUGAAACUCCUACAAAAAUUACCGAAAGAACUUCUAGAAGAAUUCUUAGUGAAACUCCUAUUCCUAUUGGCAGUUCUCGGUAGAUUUCCUAAAGGAAUGUAUGGUGAAAUUUCUUCGGAAAUUCCUGUUGAAACUUCUAGAAAAGCUUUCGAUGGUACUUCUAGAAGAGUUUUCGAUGGUACUUCUAAAGGUACUCCUGCGGGAGCUCGUGAUGGAAUUUUAGAGAAUUCCUGAUGGAACUCCAAGAGAAGCUCCCGAGAACUACUAGUCUAGAGGAUAUUUCCGUGAAACUCCAUAUGAUUCUCAGUGGAACUAUUAGAGGGACUUCGCGGAGAAACUCCCAUAUGAACUCCUGGUGAACUGUUGGCGGAAUUUCAGUCGGAAUUACUACAGAAAUGCUCAUUGAUACAGUCGUAGAACAAUGCUGGGUCACAUUUAGAGAAUAUUUUCAUGGAAUAUAUGAAAUUCUAAGUGCAUCUCCAAGAGGAAUUAUAAUCAGAAUUGCUAGAGAAAUUUUCGUUGGUACACCUGGAGAAAUGCUCGGUGAAACUCCUACGGGAGUUCAUGGUGGAACUUUGAAAAGAAUUCCCGGUGGAACUCCUGCAGGAAUUUGUGGUGGAACUUCUGGAAGAAUUUUCGGUGGGAUUCAUAAAGAAAUUCUCGGAGCAAUUUCAAGAUAAGUUACCAUUCCAACUCCUAGAGGAGAUUCCGGUGAAACUCCAAGAAAAAUUGUUGGUGAAACUCCUAGAAAAGAUCCCGAUAGCACUUCUAGAAGAAUUUCCAGAACUCCCAGUGUAAUAACUACAGGAAUUCCCUGUGAAACUCUUGUGAAAUUUCUCGGUGGAUUUACUAUAGGAAUUCAUGUCGAAACUUCUAGCAUUCGGAGGUACUCCUAGCACAGUUUUCGAUGGUACUUCUAGAAAAACUCCUGCGGGAGUUCGUGAUGGAACUUAAGAGAACUUUUAGGUUAAACUUUUAGAAACAUUCUUGAAAGAUUUCUCGAUGGAACUCCUAGAAAAGUUCCUGGUGAAACCUCCAGAGGAUAUGAAAUUCUCCGUGGAAUUUCUAAAGAAAUACAUGUAGGACUUCGCGGAGUAACUUCUGGGGAAACUGCUGGCGGGAUUUCAGUCGGAAUUACUACAGAAAUUCUCAUUGAUACAGUCAUAGCAGCACAGUAAUGGGUCACCCACAAUAAUGGAUAAAAUGUGUUUGAAUAGCGUGGUGAACUGACUGACUUAUAAUUUCGACAGAGUGAGCCAUAUAAAUGUGCAAUUACUGGUCCUAAAGAAAUUCUUGAUGAAACUCCUAUGGAAGUUCACGAUGGAGUUUUGAAAAAAAUCCUGGUGGAAAUUCUUGAGAAAUUCGCGGUGGAAUAUAUACAAGAAUUCGCCGUAGAACCCCAAUAAGAAUUCGUGGUGGAGCUUCUGGAGAUAUUUUCGCACUUCUGAAGAUAUUCGGCACUCCUGCAAGAAUUUGCAGUGAUACUCCUAGAGGAAUUCCCGGUAGAACUUCUGCAGGAGUUCGUGGUGGAUAAACAGGAAGAAUUUUCAUUGAAUUUGCAUAGAGACAUUCUCGAGGGACCUUAUAGAGAAACCACCAUUGAAACUCCUUGAGAAGUUCUCUGCGGGAAUUACCACAACAAUUUCCUGUAGAACUCAUGGAGGAAUUUCUGGUAAAACUCAUAGAAGAGCUCGUGGUGGAACUUCUGGUACCUUUGCCGGUGGAUCUGCUAGUGAUAAUCGGUGGAGUUCCUAGGGAAUAUGCAUGUGAAACACGUAUAGGAAUUUCUGGUAGAAUAUCGGCAAAAAUAUCGUAGGAUUUCGAAGCGAAAUUCUUGGUGAAGUUUCUUGAGAAAUUCUUGGUGGAACUCCUACAAAAAGAAUCACUGGAGCUCAGAGAAAUUUACGGUGGUACUCCUACAGGUUCUGGUGGAUCUGCCAGAUAAAUUUUCGAUGGAACUCGUACAGGAAUUCCCGGUGGAACUUCUAGAAAAAUCCACAGUGGAACUCUAACAGAAAUUCACGGCGGAAUUCCUGUGGGAAUUCCCAUUGGAACUGUUGUUUUCCACAGAUUUAUUGUCCGUUUUCAUUUUGAAAUCUAAAGUUUUUUUUCCUGUAUGUUAGAAUUGUUAUAGAAAUACAGGUGCGUAAUGCAGAAUUUCUCCGGUGGUCACUCCGGUGACUACGAAGAACCAGUAUGGCUAUUUAUUUAUUUGUAUCGUAUCGUAAAAAUAACCGGCAUGAAAAGAAAAAUUAAUGAUAGAUCAUAUGGCGUCUGGUUUUGGUUCGAAAAGUCUACCCUAAUAGAAAAAUAUGAUACAACGUGCUUAACAACCCUUUCGGGCUAUCAUUUUGAUCAUACAUGGAAUGAUACAAUCAUUCGCCAAAUCGUCAGUGUAUAAUACAUUUUUGUUAGGGUAAGAAAUCGGGUUACGUACAAAAGGCUGAAACACGAAAGGCUGAAAUAACAAAAGGCUGAAUUACGAAAAGAUGAAUCACAAAAGGCUGAAAAUGUCAAAAGGCUGAAAUAACAUAAGGCUGAAAUAAUUAUUCGACUAGUUUUCAAACGGCGAACAUAACAGACAAACAGACAUAACACUCUAAUUAUUCAUAUCGUACACUGAUAUAAUGAUCUUUAUGAAAAUUUGCUAGUUGGCCGACCACUCAGCCCUGACACUUGCAUUGGUUUUGCUUGAGUUUGACAUUUGACACACACUACCGCUCAUGGGUUGAUGAUUCAUUGGACGAACAUGCUUCCGUUACUAUGUUCGAAUAGAGGCGUCCCGUGACCAUCAGACUGACCUGUUCUAUAGAUGACAAUCGUACUAAAUGGAAAUACGUUUUAAGUUGUUUGAUGCUAGUCUUGCUCAGAUUGUUCAUACCCUGGUUCAUACUAUCAUUGAUAUUUUUUUUUGUUUCUUUUUUAAUGUUGUAGAAUAUACCCUCUUCGAAUGAGUGUAAUCAGUUUCGUACCUUUGAAUUCCGCCCUAAUUGCUUAUCCUUUGAAAGAUACGCGUAUUUCAAAUACCACUAGUAAUCUUCCUCAGUGUCAGUUAUCCACUUAUCCACGAAAUAAGCAAAUAUGCAAAAUUUCCAUUUUCUGAAAAUAUCUUCGGGAUCUUCAUCUUAAAUAAGGUAGGCGAUGUGGAUUACUUUUCAUUUUUAUGUAAACACCUUCUGAGUAUACAAAGGUUUUAAUUCAUACAUCAUUCGAGCCAUUAUGAGAACAUCUUCGAAUAAUCUUCUAAAGAUUGGGUCAAAUCUGAUGUUAGAUCUGCAAUUUUUCUUCAUAUAAAUAGAAUUUGCUUUAUGCGAAUUUUUACAGAGAUUUUAAUAAAAACUAUUUGCUUAGUUUUGUUCAUAUAGCCUCUUGUUGCGUGGAUUAUUUCACGACACAACUGCUAAUUAAUAUCUGUUACAUUCUAUCAUGUCCAAGCUCAUUUUGUGCGGUAAAUGUUCGAAAGUUUAGCCUCACAUGGCCUAAAAGUUAUAGUUUGGAAACCGUUGCCAACUAACUACAUGUUCGCGUAGCUAGAGCGCAUUUGACAUCCAACCCAGCUCUACAGUCAUUCGCGCAAGCUGGUUGUACAUUGGAGGUGCCUCUGGCGUUCUAACUCUGCAAGUUGUUCCCAAGCUAUGUAGAACGACAAACAGCGAAGCCACAGCUCAUGUUUUAGCUUCGCUACACACAUGUACAUUUUUCAUUCAUACAGAAGAUCUUCUCGUUUACAUGUGUGAUUUUGGCAUUCAUCGUCUCCGGCUCUGAAAAGCAUGGUAACAACCAUUUACACAAAUUUGACGACCUUAUUGGUAAGCAAAGCUCAAAAAGUAUUUGAAUAUUAUGAAAGAAAUGUUCGAUAUAUAUAUUUCCGUUGGCAUAUAUUUGUUGCGAAAGGUUGCGAAUAUUGUUAUUUCACAACAACAAUUAAAUACACAAUUUUUGACAUCAUAAAACUUUAAUAUAGAAUUGAAAUUUUAAUCGAUUGUGCUUAGCGUGCGUGUACGUGUGAGAAAGCGGAGAGUGAAAAAAAAAUGCUACGAGACGCCGACCACGCUACUGUGGCUGCUGCUGGUUCUCGACGAGUGGAGAACGUAUGGGCGACAGAGUAGAGAGAAAUGAAUUUGAGUGAACACUGCCUUUCGGAGGUAAAAAAAGUAAAUAAACUGUUGGUUUGGCAACAAUGCUUGUCGUUCGCAUGAAUCGUGGAACUGGUGGAAGUAUGGCUUCGAAGAAUCAAGCAAGAGAGAGUUGCGCCGAUCUGGCUCUCGCAUGCUCUUGCUGCUUGGUUUAUGCUGCUGGCUGGUGUGGUAAACUUCUAGAUAUAAGCAUGCGUUGUAUUCCGUUCUCCAUAAACAGAGAACGAUGCGACGUUUGCGUUUUGUGCACAAGCUGUAAUCGGGUAUGUGCGGUGCGGGUUUUAAAUUUAGUUUAUGCUUGUGGGGUAACAAUUAUUUUAAUUGACCGAAUUUUAAUCUCAGCCUACCCGUUCCAAGAACAGGUCGAACAUGCGGAGGAGGCGCCUCUGGUCGAAAUCGGAAAGCGUUAGGACUGUUCUUCCGCGCUAAAGUAUGCAUUAUUGAUCGCCUACAUAACUAUGACAGUAUUUCUCCAAAGAAUAGCAUAUAUUUAAAGAAGGAAAAUCUCUGAUUACAUUGGUGGCAGCUGUAAUGGCAACCAAUCUUCAUAACAGCAUGUCUCGAAAGAAUAGCUCAUGCUUAAAGAAGGAAAAUCUCUGAUUGAAAUACCAUCAGACAUUUUUUGUGUUAGUUGGUAUGCAUCAUUAGCCUCUUCACUAAGCACAUUCUAUGACUAGGACUCAUAUAUGUAGCCGCUCUGGUUAGUGAACGGGUAGUCAUGCUGAGGGUUACGGGUUCGAUUCUGCCUCGUGCUAGAAAAUUUUUGUAAUAUAAAAUUCCUUGACAACCGCGGGCAUAAAGUAUCUUCCUGCCUGUCACACGAUAUACAAAUGCAAAGUGGUCAUUGGCAGAGAAGGAUCUCAAUUAAUAACUGUUGAAAUGCGUAUAGAAGCUGAAAGCAGGCUUUGUCUCAGUUGGGACGUUACGCCAGAAAAAAAGAAGUACUAUAACCCAUUUCCUGCAUUUUUGCGAUUUCAGCCUUUUGUGCAUUCAGCCUUUUGAAAUUCAGCCUUAUGUUACUUCAGCCUUUCGUGUUCAGCCUUUUGUGCAUUCAGCCUUUUGAAAUUCAGCCUUAUGUGCAUCCCAAGAAAUCAUUGUCAUUGUCGUUGCCUGAUUGAUUCCGGGAUUCAGAAAAACUUAAUUAGAAGGCACAUAAUGUUGGUAAUUGACAAGUUUAAAGAUGAAUUUGUAAAAAAAAAAUCGCGUUCUGGUUGGAUUCGAACCCACGACGCCGUAUUAGCUAGACCGGCGCUUUAACCAACUAAGCCACAAAACAGGCAAUGAUUCUGUGGAAUAGAAAGCCAAACCUAACCCGAAUCCACACCAUGAACACUCCUUUUUUUCACAAACCAUCUCUUAUUCGGCUUAGAUGCCAAUCCUUGGGUAAAAAGACAGCUAUUCUUCUUCUUCUUCUUUUAUGGCUCUACGUUCGCACUGGGACUUGGCCUGCCUCUCUUCAACUUAGUGUUCUUUGAGCUUUUCCAUAGUUAUUAAUUGAAGGGCUUUCUUUGCCUGCCAUUGCAUGAAUUUGUAUAUUGCAAGCCCAGGGAGUCGAGAAAAUUUUCCCGACCGGAACGGGAAUCGAACGCGCCGUCUCUGGAUUGGCGAUCCAAAGCCUUAACCACUAGGAUAACUGGAGACCCCUAUUAAACCCCUAUAAAAGACAGCUAUUAUAAAGGUCGUAUCAGGUCACAUGAUCUAAUCGAAAAUUCCUUGUGAUUUCCCGAAGAAAACAUUCAGGAAUACCAGCUGGAAUUCUUGCGGCUCCUUAUGUGUUCAUUACAUGAAUUUCUCCAAGAAUUCCUCCCGUAGAUCCUCUUGGAAUUUUCUAAGAAUGCCUACUAGCGUGGCUCCAGUUUUUUCAUGUUUUUUGCAAGAGUUCUUCUUGGAAUUUUCCCAGGGAUUUUAUCAGGAAAUCAUCCAGGAAUUCCUCCAGGGAUGCCUAGUGGGGUUCUUCCAGAAAUUCUUCCUGUGCUUUCUCCAGGUAUUCCGCCAAAAUUCUUCAAGGGUUUUCUCUUGAAGUGCUUAAGAAGUUCUUGCUUUAAUUAUUCUUGGAUUUUUUAGUUGCAUUCCUCAAACAAUUCUUGCUAAAAAGAAAAAAAUCAAAAUAGAGAUUCCUCCAGAAAUUCCUUAAGAGAUUGUCCUUCAGGAGUGUCUUUUGGAAUUCUUCCAAGAAUUUUUCGUAAUAUUCCUGCAGAAAAUCCUCUUGAGAUUCCUUUUGGAAUUCCUGCUGGCCGGGGAUAUCUAGAUAUUCCCUUCAGAAAUUCGUAGUGGGAAUGAUUAAGGAAUUAUUACUGGGAUUGCCCAAAAAAAUCCUUCUGGAAAUUAUAUAGGGAAAAUUAUAGGGAAAUUACCAGCGGGAAGUUAUUGCGAAAUCCGAGUAAGAAUUCCUAUAAUACAUUUCUGAAGGAAUCCCAGCUGGAAUGUAGAAAUUCCUAGAUAAAUCACAAGAUUCCUAGGAUUUCUCCAAGGAUUUAUUCAUGAAUUUCUUCAGAAAUUCCUUCUGGAAUUCCUCCGGAAAUUCCUACUGUAAACCCCUUUUGGAUGUCUCCUAUGGUUUGCCAGGAGAGCCUGUUAGUAGUCUUACAGAAAUUCUUCUUGUGACUCCUCAAUAGAUUUCACCCAUAAUUUCAGCGAUUCUUCUAAGGACUCCUCUCAAAGUUACUCCUGACAUUCUUCCAGAAACUCCUCAUGAAAUAGUUCUAGUAAUUCCUGCUGGGAUCCCUCCAGUGUUUUCUUCAGGGAUUCCUACAAGUAUUCUUUAAGUAAAAGCUCUUGGGAUCACGUCAAAAAUACUUGUAUGAUUUUUUCCUGACUGGCAAAGUUACCACAAAUAUCAAAAUUACACCAUUGUUACAAUUAACUGUAAGGACUUCCACUUGUUUGAAAUUACCUUUUAAUUGCGAUUUUACUGUCUACCCCCGUUGAACGACAGUUCAUGGGAAACCAACGUGCGAAAAACACACUGAUGGCAACCCUUUUUUUUGCUGUUUUGUUUUGAUUUUGCGUUCCGUUUCACUCCGUUCCAUGAGCGUUUGAACCAUUUUUAGUUUAAACGAUGUGCAGACUAGAGGAGGUCAAAUUAAAAAGUGUUCAGAUUACAUGAGGUCAAACCAAUGGAGGUAGACGGUAAUAAAAAUAUGUUUAUCACACUUUCAUCAUGCAUCCAUGAUCCCAUUGUUGAACAUUGGCAUUACUUGAACUGUCUGAACAAGACUGCCAGAUUUUUUUUUUACAUUUCAUGGGCGUUCUGUGGGUUUCGAGGGUUUUCAUGAGCGUUACGGGAAUGUUCCAGGGCUGUUCCAAGGGGCUUCGUAUGGUUUCCAGGGUGCUCCUUCCAGGGGGUUUCAGGAGCGUUCCAUGAGAUUUUAGUCGUUUUCAAGAUACAUUUAUUUCACCGGCGUUCGAGGAGGUUCCAUGUGUUUUCCAGCGGCUUUUCAAGCGGUAUUUUCAAGCGGUUUCAAGGAUGUUCCAGGAGUUUCAGAGACCUUCGAGGGGAUUCAGUUUGUUCCAGGGUUUCAGGGGUGUUACAGGGAGUUCCACGGGCGUUCCAGGAGAUGUCAGGGGCGAUGCAGAGUGUUUCGGGUGGCAUUAAGAGAUUCCAGAAGGUAACAUGCGCGUUCCAAGGUUGGUCUAAGGUCUCAGUGGGUAUCAGAGGCGUUCUUAUGUUUUUCUGCGUUUUUCAGGGACUCAGGGGUGUUCCAAGAAUUUCAGGCGUUUUCACUUUCAGGGGCGUCCGAAGAUGUUUCAGGGGUGUACCAGUGGAUUUGAUGUGUUUUCAAGGUGGUUUCAAGGUGUUCCAGGAGGCAUCAGGGGCGUUCCAGGGAUGUUCUAUGGGAAUCAGCUCGUUCCAGAAGUGUUCCAGGGGCAUUCCUGGGGAUUUCAUGGGCAUUUCAGGUUUUUUUAUGGUUACAGAAGUGUUUCAGUGGGUUGUAGAGCGCUUCGGAGAUGUUCCAAGGGUUUCAAGGAUUUUCAUAAGGGCUCCAGGAUCAUUCCAGGGGUUGCAGGGGCGUUCCAGUGGGUUGCAGGGCAUUUAAGGUGCAUUACAGGGUGCUUCAGGUUGUUUUAGGAGACUCUGGGAGGAUUCAGGUGCGUUUUAUGACAGUUCUAGGGGUCUCAGUGUGUUUCAGGAACGUUUCAUGGGUCUUCAAGGAGGUUUCAAGGGUUUCCGAGUGGAUUUUAGGUAUUUUCAAGCGAUUUCAGGGGUGUCCCAGAAAUCUCAGAGACGAUCCAGGGGUUUCAGUUUGUUCCAGGAGUGUUCCUGAGACAUUUUUGGGGAUUUCAGGAGCGUUCCAGGGGUUUUCAAAUGGUUUCAGGGGUGUUCCAGCGGGUUUCAGAGCGUUCUAGGGUUGCAGUGUGUUCUAGGAGUGUUCCAAGGAAGUAUUAGGAGUGCCAGAGACUUUUCGGGUGAUUCCAUGGGCUUUCAUAAAGGUUCCAGGGUCGUUCCAGUGGAUUUCAGGAGUGUUACAGGGAGUUCCAGGAGCGUUCCGGGAGAUUUCAGGGCGAUGCAGGGUGUUUAAGGCGAUUUUAGGAGAUUUCAGGAGCUUACUUGAGCGUUCCAGGAUUGUUCUAGGGCCUCAGCGGGUAUCAGGGGCGUUCCUAGGUUUUUUUGCGUUGUUCAGUGUUUCAGGGGUGUUCCAGGGGAUUUUAGGCGUUUUCACGGGGUUUUCAGGGGCAUCCGAAAAGGUUUCAGGGGCGUUCCAGGGGAUUUCAUGUGUUUUCAAGAAGGUUUGGGGGUGUUCCAAGAGGCAUCAAGGGCGUUUCAGGGACAUUAUUGGAAGAUUUCAUGGGCAUUCCAGGUUUUUUAAGGGUUUCAGAAGUGUUUCAGUGGGUUGUAGAGCGCUCCAGAGAUGUUCAAAGAGUUUCAAGGAUUUUCAAAAGGGCUCCAGGAUUGUUCCAGGGGUUGCGGGCGUUCUAGUGGAUUUAAGGGAGUUUAGGGAAAUUUAAGGGCUUUACAGGGUGUUUCAGGUGGUUUUAGGAGAUUCUGGGAGGAUUUAGGUGUGUUCUAUGGCUGUUCUAGGGGUCUCAGAGGCGUUCUAGCGAUUUUAAGGGUGUUCAAGGGGGUUUCAAAGGUGUUCUUUGGGUUUCAGAGGUGAUCCAGGGAACCUUUCAGGGCAUUCCAGGGGGUUUCAGCGAUUUUUCAAAGACAUUCAGUCUCAGGAGUGUCAAAAAAGUUCAGGAUUGCUUUCAGAAGGGUUUCAGGGGAUUUCAGGUGGUUUCAAGGGCGGUUCAGGGGUUUUACAGGCGUUCCAGUGGAUUUCAGGGAGUGUCAGGGACGUAACAGGGGGAUUUAGAGGGUUUCUAGUAGGGUUUCGUGCUUUUUUGGGUUAUGUUUAGAGUUAUUACAGUGGGCUUCAGGGGUUUUCAGAUGAUUUCAGGUGUGUUUCGAAACCCCUUCAAACCAUUUAAAUUAGUUUUCAAACGCCUUAACAUCACUUGAUCUCUCAAAAACUUCUUUGAACGCCCCCCAAAACCCUCUGAAAUGUCUUGAAACGCUUAGGUACGCAUUGAUACCCCGCUGAAACACCCCGAAACCACCUGAAAUCUCCUAAUCUGUCCUGAACUUCUAUUGUAAUGGCUUGAAGCUUCUCUAAAAUAGUCCUGAAAUUUCUAGGAACCACUGGAACAACCCUGGAUCCUCCUUGAUAACGUCCAGCAAUUUCCAGAAACGCUUUCCAAUUUCCCCUGAAAUUGAAAUCACCAGAAACCAUCUGAAAAGCCUCGCAACUCCUCUAAAACCUACUGAAACUUCCUAGAAAGUUUCACACUUUCGGGAGUAUCCUCGAAACUUGUCUGAAACUCUAAUGAAAUCUGAAACUUUUAAAUGAAUGAUACGAAGUUCAAGAUUUUGUCUACGUUGACAUGUAACCAAGGGUUAGAAGGGUCAGAUACUACAGAUCACAAAUGUACACAUACGUUAAAUAUUUGCUGACAUUGGCAAUGGCGGUUGGUUAUAUCGACUAUGCGAACAUGGGUAGUAUUUCCAACAUAGAUCCUAUUUAUUUCAAAUAUAAUGUAACGCUUGUUCCAAUAAGUGUUGUACAGUCGGGACUUAACACGGUGCCACUAAUACGUACACCAUAAUAUCUGGAUUAUUUUACAGUUAAUUGAGCUGGAAUUUUGUGUCUGGUUAAAAAAAACUGAAAUAAGAUAAUCAUCCUUCAAAAAUCAGUUGAAUUUGUUGGCACGCAGUUGAAAUACAGUGGACGUAAUGUGGGUGGUACCGUUUUGUAGGAAUCCCGACUGAAGUUGUGGUCAAAACAAAAUGCGUUUUGAAACAACUUAAAAUAUGUUUGAUUUUACUAUAAUUUUCAAAACAGACGAGUAUUGACAAAGCCACAUGCAAAACGCUGUCACUGCUAGGUGGAUUCAUAUUCUUCAGAGGUUUUGUAAAACAUCGACGAUUCUUUGUUGGAAAACUUGUUUCCAAACCCUAUUGAAUCUUGUUUCAAGUCAGGAAGUUCGGAAAGUGUUCAAUCAUCAACCCGUCAUUUUAUCAAUUUCAUUAGAAUCCACCUGAAACAUUCCACCACGGCAAGUGUGUUCUUAGCCAAAGAAAGACGUAGCCACAUAUUCAAAUUUGCUUUUCCCCCCAGAUGUAGGAAAACAAAGGAGCAAUUAAACUAAUAAAACCGCGCACCGCUUAAUCGAAACCGAUAAAACUCAAAUGAACGAUGCGUUGUUGGUUCCGCCUGGAGAAUGCUGUGUCGUUACGCGCGUUACUGUUGUGUGAUUCCAGCUAAAGCUAGACUAUUCAUAUAUGCACUGAGAAGAGCACACACGACGACGCCGCCGAUAUCGGCGGCAGGCACGUUUUGCUUCGAUUGCGCACCUCCUUCGUUUUUUUUUCAUUCUGACAGCUGUAGGUACUUAGCCUCUCCUAGUAGUACAUACUAACUGCGAACAAGCACACUUAAUUAACGAAAUCGACUUUGCGCGCACUCUGCCUCUGCCUGUUGCUGCACCACACUUGUUGUUUGUUUUCCGAAGACGAGUGUUGUUGAGGAAGCACCUUCCGUUGUGUUAUUAUCGACUGUGAGUUCAUAGACUCAAGUAUGUAUCGACAGUAUCGUUGUAAUGAACCUGGCUCGGUAUGGGACAGUUUCCGUCUGGAGGAUUAUUUGAGCGGCGGUUGAGGAGACAUACUCACGCACGGGGACAUCUACGGAGGAAUCAUUCAUCCGACAUACCUCUUACCACAGGAGCUUACUUGUGUGACCCCGUCCAAAUCCACCCAUAUCGCCCAUUCACCGACCUUCAAUUGGUCAGCUGCAACACCACCAAAUGGCUACGAGAGCCAAAUUUCCAUUUCUUCAAUCGUUCCCGCCUGAAUCGAACCCGAACUCCCGCUCGCCGCCGUCGCUACACCCCGCAAUCAUGCGUCCGUACCUGUGCCUGUACCUGUACCUGUUCUACCCGUAUUUCUUGUUUUUGAUUUCAGGCACCUACGGGAGCGGCUCGGCCGACGGGGCCUGCAGUGCCGACGAUCUGGACUGCAUCGCGCACCACGAUCACCUCGGGAUGGAAGCGAUCCGGAGUCUGCACCAGCAGCUCGAUGAC